rnacentral:rRNA from 1 species
GACGAACGCUGGCGGCGUGCUUAACACAUGCAAGUCGAACGGAAAGGCCCUGCUUUUGUGGGGUGCUCGAGUGGCGAACAGGUGAGUAACACGUGAGUAACCUGCCCUUGACUUUGGGAUAACUUCAGGAAACUGGGGCUAAUACCGGAUAGGAGCUCCUGCUGCAUGGUGGGGGUUGGAAAGUUUCGGCGGUUGGGGAUGGACUCGCGGCUUAUCAGCUUGUUGGUGGGGUAGUGGCUUACCAAGGCUUUGACGGGUAGCCGGCCUGAGAGGGUGACCGGCCACAUUGGGACUGAGAUACGGCCCAGACUCCUACGGGAGGCAGCAGUGGGGAAUAUUGCACAAUGGGCGGAAGCCUGAUGCAGCAACGCCGCGUGCGGGAUGACGGCCUUCGGGUUGUAAACCGCUUUCGCCUGUGACGAAGCGUGGGUGACGGUAAUGGGUAAAGAAGCACCGGCUAACUACGUG